rnacentral:lncRNA from 1 species
UUCCUUCUUAUUUAUUCACUUAUAUAUGUUCCCAAACAUAUUAUAAUAGAUCCAACAACAAGCCAAAGUCCCAAGUUUCAUAAUGGACAAAAGUACAAGCAAUUCAUCAAUAAUGAAGGUGCUACAAAAACUGGAAUCUGCCCCAAAAUAGAAAUCCAACCCAAGAGACUUUUUCUCUCUCUCCCUCUUCCGCCUCCUUUCAUCUAUCAAAUUUCUGCAACCUCUUCUCUUCUCCAAUGGAGCUGAAUUUUGGACACCCUAUAGUUCUUGAGCAUAUGAACAACUUUCAAGAAGGAACCAUUUCUGUUUGAGCGACGGAAAUUAAAGUGUUGAAGCUCCAAACAUGACAGUCGGAUUCUUGCAGAUUUCGAAGCUGCUGUGAUGUUUCGAAGAUCUGGAAAUAUUUAACCAUUAAUUCAUUCUGCAUUUUUGAUAUGUUAUGAAAGAGACGAUGAGGAACAACUUCAAUGAAGAAAGCAUACCGAUCUGAACAAGAGAAAAUAGAGUUUCAAAGCUCACAACAAAUCUGACGGGUUGACAGAAAAAUAAUAACCAGUCAUUCAUCAUACCUGGAUUUCUGGAGUUAUACUGCUCCGAGGGAUCUCAAAUUUGGAUAUGUUGUAGUUCACAAGCUGAGGAACAACUUCAAUGAAGAAAGCAUGCUGAUCUGAGCAAGAGAAAAUAGAGUUUCAAAGCUCACAACAAAUCUGACGGGUUGACAGACAAAUGAUAAACAGUCACUCAUCAUACCUGGAUUUCUGGAGUUAUACUGCUCCGAGGGACCUCAAAUUUGGAUAUGUUGUAGUUCACAAGUUAAGGAACAACUUCGAUGAAGAAAGUAUGUUGAUCUGAGCAAGAGAAAAUGGAGUUUUUGAAGCUCACAACAAGUCUGACGCGUUGAUAUACAAAUGACGAACAAUCACUCAUCAUACCUGAAUUUCUGGAGUUGUACUGCUCCGAUGGAUCUCCAAUUCGGAUAUGUUGUAGUUCACGAGCUAAGGAACAACUUUCAUGAAGAUGGUUUUGCGAUCUGAGCCACAGAAAAUGGUGUUAUAUUGAAGAAAAGCUAAAGGAAGACUAAAGGAAAGCAAAAAUGGUAAAGCAAAGUAAAAAAAAAAAGCUAAAGGAAGACAAAAU